GGUCCAAGCACCGCAAGACCCCAUUUUAUGCUUGAACCUUCUAAAUAGGUGAAUGUAUGAACAUAUACCUUUCAUUUAAUACCAAUGGGAGUAUUCUCUACAUUCUCUACAUAAUGCUCUGUACCUUUCUGUUUCUGUACUUGACAUGUCUUGAUGAUAUGUUAAGAUCUUCAAUACAUUAUAGGCCCUUCAUGUUCUAACAGCUUCAGGAUAUUCCAUUGCAUAGAUGUACUUGGUUUAAUCAGUCCUCUCAGACCGCCCUCUGCCCCGAAAUACUGAGCCAAAGGCAGCCUCUCUGCAUGUCUGGGAGCCCCACCAGGGAAGCACAAGCCUGAAAGACUCACUUCUAGGGUCACAAGAACAGUAUUCACACUGGGGCCCAGCCACGGUCAGUUCCCACAGCCCAACAAAUAUUUAGCAAGUGCUUCCUGUGAGCUAGGCUGUGAUCUUCACAGUGAUGAGGUAGCAGUGAAGAAAACAGACAAAAAUCCCUGCCUUUCAGGGCUUAAAUUUUAGCAGAGGAGGCAGAAAGAAAAUCUAAUUAAUAAAUAAGUCAUUUACCUAAGUGCUCUAAGAUCAAGCCAGGCCCAGGCGUGGCGGGGUGGGAAGGGAUCAUGUUCAACCGGGUGGUCGGGAGGUUCCUUCCCAGCUCCUGCCUGUCCAGCCUUUAUCUUCCUGCCGAGAUGGUGUUAUUAUGGUUCCCAAAUGUUUGAGGUUCAAGUGAAGAGUUCAUCUGUAAUGGGAUUAUUUCUCGCCCUGUUUGCUUUCAUUACAGACCCACUCUCUCCAAGCAUGAGAAUCUAACCUUACCGAAAGCAUAUUUUGGUAAUCUGAUAUAAACUAAAUUUAAACUUUGACCUCCAACAAUAAAAACGCUACUUUCCUUCUCUGAAGACCUGAAAUUCAGAUUAAGGGCCUGCCAGCUUCACUUUCCGGGUUUCUAACUGACUUCUAAUUAGAUUCUAAGCUUUACUCAGAAGGGGCUGGGGACGGGCCGGGGCCCAUGGCGGACGGCAGCCAACUGGCCUGGUUUCUCCUCAUUCCCAUUAGAAGUCAGAUGCUUCUAGCUUUCCCACACCCCGAAUCCUGUGUUUUUGGUAUUGUCACAGAGUACCAAGCUAGUGCAGAAAACUCAAAAUAAAAUUGCUGUCUCAAGCUACAUUGCAAAUUUGCUCUGAUCCCGUUUUGCACGAACUGCUUUAAUCCUGCUGCGGGUAAAGGUUAAGUAUGAGCUUACUCAAAUCUGCCCCCACGUCAUGUUCUAAUUCCUGUAGGUUAUCUUAGUUAGAAAUUAAGGCAAGCAACUGCGAGUCCACAUGGGGGCUGUCUGCGGCCAGGGCUGCUCCCUUCGUCUAAGCCUUCAACAGCCUCGCCUGCCACCCCACUCGUGAACAAUUUUCUGUUUUUCAGAGCUUGACAUUCAUAUGUUGUUCAGGUUUGCUACACACAAAAUUAAUGCCAUGCAUUUCUUUUUUUUUUUUUUAAGAAAGAAAUUAAAUAAAUGUCACAGUCUGGACCAGAAUAAGCAACUGAAAAUUCAAAUUCAGGGAUGUCCUACAUUAAUAACUAUUCACCGAGGAAGCAUUUCCUGUUUAUACAUUGAGCUAAUGAGAAUCCAUCACUCCUGUCAAAUACACUGAACACCAAAUUCAAAUGUCAAACCAAAUGUAAGAGGUCACACAUUUCCUUUGCUAACUAAAAGUGUAAUUCAUAAAUAUUAUUGCUACCAAACUCUCCAUCUACAACAUUUGUUUAGAAAUAUGCACAUGUAAUAUAAAUUGUGAUUAAGUUAAAUGGGUAUAUUAUUUCCUGUUUUAAGGGCUAACAGCAGCAUGAAUUAUGCUUUACUGCAAAGAAGGGCUCAAGUCACAAGCGGGUCUGCUCGAGCCCAGCCCCACAUUUUACACCCCCAGAUUGUUUUUUGCACAUUCAUUCAUAAAUACUUUACAUUACCCAGCCGCACUGAUAACUUUCACUUCUGCUGCCUUAUAAAAUAGCUCUUACUGUUGAAAAGGUCAGCUAAAUGGACGUAAACUUUGUAUCUAGCUACACUUAAAAAUAAAAGUGGAAAAACAAAGAAGAUUUACAAAGCCAGGGUCUUCAUUUACCUCCAUAAGCACAGUACCAGGAUUCAAAUUAAACUGAAACUUCGCAUCUGU
rnacentral:lncRNA from 1 species